rnacentral:RNase_P_RNA from 1 species
UGGCGUGGCGAGGCGGCCGCCCAUCCCGCAUGGGAUGGGAGGAAAGUCCGAACACGGUAGAACUCGGUGGUGGGUAACACCCACCCUCCAAACUGGCGACGGUUUGGGGCGGGAUAGCGCCACAGAAAAUAUACCGCUCGUUGAUUCGUUGACGGGUAAGGGUGAAAUGGUGCGGUAAGAGCGCACCGCUGUGCUGGUGACAGUGCAGGCUAGGCAAGCCCCGCCGCGUGCAAGGCCAAGUAUGCCCCUGGUUGACGGUUAUGACCGGCAGCCACAGCUGGUUCGGCUGUUUGGGGGCGGGUAGGCUGCUGUGAGUUCGUGGGCAACUGCGGGCCUAAGAGAAAUGGUCGCACUCUCGAUGGAUCUCGAGAUUACAGAAUUCGGCUUAUCGUCACGCCACAAA